AUUGAACGCUGGCGGCAGGCCUAACACAUGCAAGUCGAACGAGUGGCGGACGGGUGAGUUAUGUCUGGGAAACUGCCCGAUGGAGGGGGAUAACUACUGGAACCGGUAGCUAAUACCGCAUACCAUCGGAUGAGCCCCGAUGGGAUUAGCGAGUAGGUGGGGUAAAGGCUCACCUAGGCGACGAUCCCUAGCUGGUCUGAGUGGAUGAACAGGCACACUGGAACUGUGACGCGGUCCAGACUCCGACGGGUGGCAGCAGUGGGGAAUAUUGCACAAUGGGCGCAAGCCUGAUGCAGCCAUGCCGCGUGUAUGAAGAAGGCCUUCGGGUUGUAAAGUACUUUCAGCGGGGAGGCGUUACCCGCAGAAGAAGCACCGGCUAACUCCGUGCCAGCAGCCGCGGUAAUUC
rnacentral:rRNA from 1 species